rnacentral:misc_RNA from 1 species
CCCCCCACCCCCCCUUCCGCGAGACCGAGAGAGAGAGAGGGAAGGAAGGAGAGAAAAGGGGGGGGGGCAGCCCAGCCCCCGCGUCGUCCGAAGCCGAAGCUGCGCAGCGGUCCCGGCUCCUUGCCCGCGGCGUCGCGGGAAGGGCCGGCCGCCGGGGUCGGCCGUCGCCGCGGGGCGUCCCGCCUCUCCCCCCGCCGCGCGGCGGGCGGAGGCGGGUUAGCCCCGCGCCUGCGCGGUGCCGUUCCCCGCCCCAGGCGCCGCCGGGCCGCCACGUCGCCGGCCGCCGCCGCCGCCGCCGGCGCCCGUCGCCGCCACGCCGCCGCCGCCGGCACGCCCGUGAUGCCGCUCCCGCGGGUCGGAGCGGUGAAAGGAGCCGGGGGCGGUCAGGGGUUGGCGGGGGCGGUCCCGCCGGCGGCGGGUCCGGGCGUCCGCGCGCUGGCGCGCCUUGGCGCGGCGCCGCCGUGGGUGGCGGC